AGUCUUCUGAAUCCGUGCCAAGAUUCCGUCAGACAUAAGACCAUCAGGAUUGAUGAGACUCCCAAGAUAAGUGAAACG
rnacentral:pre_miRNA from 1 species